GACAGAGGGUGCAAACGUUGCUCGGAAUCACUGGGCGUAAAGGGCGUGUAGGCGGGAAUGUAAGUCGGGCGUGAAAGCCCCAGGCUCAACCUGGGAACUGCACUCGAAACUGCGUUUCUUGAGUAUCGGAGAGGAAAGCGGAAUACCUGGUGUAGAGGUGAAAUUCGUAGAUAUCAGGUGGAACACCAGUGGCGAAGGCGGCUUUCUGGACGAUUACUGACGCUGAGACGCGAAAGCGUGGGAAGCAAACAGG
rnacentral:rRNA from 1 species